GUAGAGGAAAAUUUUUCCGAAGUCCAUGGCCUUGAUCAUGCCUAUAUUUGAGGGUCAUUCGAUCAUGUCAUAAGAUUUCCCAAAAAUCAAUCUCAAUGAAGAGGGUGUUGAAAUCAAGGAAACAUUUGAGGGUAUUCCAUAACUUUUUCCCCUUCAAGCAAUAUCACAGACAAUCUUCCAUCCAAAGUCAACAAAAUUGAAACCCAUUUUUCAGAGUUGUUGACAACGUUAGGAAAUCUAGAGACGUCGUCAAGGGCCUCGGGAAGAGUUAUAUUUUCUUUUUAACAACUUUCCCACCCUGAAAUUGGCUCAACUAGAGAUAGGGUCCAACAGCUAGAAGAGCAUCACACGUCUUGCGGUGUUCGGUGCGCCCUCGACGACCCUUGAAAAUAUGGAGGACCGAGUACUGUCCAUGCCUAAUCGUACUCAUAACCUCAUCAGGUCUCUAAGGUGAAAAAACUCU
rnacentral:ncRNA from 1 species